AUGGCGAUUAGUAAGAGCAAUGCAAGCUUUGUAUGCUGGGCGGCCCUGAUGUUGGUGAUGGCCACUCUGAUGUUGUCAUGUGAUGCUGAUCCAAAAGAAUCAUGCGAUUUGAUUGAAGAUGGAUGCAACGAAGCCCAGUGUAGGGACUAUUGUAGGAUCAUUGGUCACACCAAGGGAUCUUGCCGGGAAGCCGAGUAUUGUUGUUGUUUGAUUGCCGCAAAGCCCAAGGUGCAUCAUCGUGAUUGA
rnacentral:rRNA from 1 species